GCUGGGCGCGGUGGUGGGCGCCUGUAGUCCCAGCUACUCAGGAGGCUGAGGCAGGAGAAUGGCGUGAGCCCGGGAGGCGGAGCUUGCAGUGAGCUGAGAUCCGGCCACUGCACUCCAGCCCGGGCGACAGAGCCAGACUCUGUCUCAA
ensembl:misc_RNA Metazoa_SRP Metazoan signal recognition particle RNA